rnacentral:rRNA from 1 species
AGAUUAAGUUAUUAAGGGCGCACGGUGGAUGCCUUGGCACUAGAAGCCGAUGAAGGACGUUACUAACGACGAUAUGCUUUGGGGAGCUGUAAGUAAGCUUUGAUCCAGAGAUUUCCGAAUGGGGAAACCCAGCAUGAGUUAUGUCAUGUUAUCGAUAUGUGAAUACAUAGCAUAUCAGAAGGCACACCCGGAGAACUGAAACAUCUUAGUACCCGGAGGAAGAGAAAGAAAAUUCGAUUCCCUUAGUAGCGGCGAGCGAAACGGGAAGAGCCCAAACCAACAAGCUUGCUUGUUGGGGUUGUAGGACACUCUAUACGGAGUUACAAAGGACGACAUUAGACGAAUCAUCUGGAAAGAUGAAUCAAAGAAGGUAAUAAUCCUGUAGUCGAAAAUGUUGUCUCUCUUGAGUGAAUCCUGAGUACGACGGAGCACGUGAAAUUCCGUCGGAAUCUGGGAGGACCAUCUCCUAAGGCUAAAUAC